UAGGGAAUCUUCCGCAAUGGACGAAAGUCUGACGGAGCGACGCCGCGUGAGCGAAGAAGGUCUUCGGAUCGUAAAGCUCUGUUGUUAGGGAAGAAGAAGUGCCGUUCGAACAGGGCGGCACGGUGACGGUACCUAACGAGAAAGCCCCGGCUAACUACGUGCCAGCAGCCGCGGUAAUACGUAGGGGGCGAGCGUUGUCCGGAAUUAUUGGGCGUAAAGCGCGCGCAGGCGGUCCCUUAAGUCUGAUGUGAAAGCCCACGGCUUAACCGUGGAGGGUCAUUGGAAACUGGGGGACUUGAGUGCAGAAGAGGAGAGCGGAAUUCCACGUGUAGCGGUGAAAUGCGUAGAGAUGUGGGGAACACCAGUGGCGAAGGCGGCUCUCUGGUCUGUAACUGACGCUGAGGCGCGAAAGCGUGGGGAGCAAACAGG
rnacentral:rRNA from 1 species